rnacentral:tRNA from 1 species
GGUUCCUUAGCUCAGUCGGUUAGAGCGUGGUGCUAAUAUCUUAACACGUGUUACGCCAAGGUCGCGAGUUCGACCCUCGUAGGAACCA